rnacentral:lncRNA from 1 species
UUUUAAGGUAGUUUUGAGUGUUUAGGGGCUGUUUUGAGUCUUUUGGUUUGUUUUAGUGUUUUAAAGUAUUGUUUUGCAUUCUUUGAGUCUAGUUAGUGUUUUAAACUUUGUUUUUACGUUUUCAAGUUAGUUUCCAAGUGAUUUAGCAAUCCCUCCUAAUCCCCGGCCUAGAACGAUCCCUACUUACAUACUUUACUACAAUUGAUAAAAAGAGGGUUUAAUUUGUGUGUUUAGUUAUUUUACGCAUCAGUUCCAUUAUGAAUGCAAAAUAUAUUGCCAUAUAGAAGCUUACAACAAUGUUGUUUGGAUGGGAAAGUUCAUUUAUGAACUCUCUAUUCGGUUCUAACCAGAAAGUGUCUCUAGUGUACCGACACUACGACACUAAUGGGGCGAUAGCUCAAGCCAGGGAAUUAAGGUCUCAUCAAGAUCCGAACUCAAUUGAGAGACUGAACCACAUGAUUAAGAAUCAUGUAUAAUGUUGACGUCGUGAUGCUCAAGGUUGCUUCUAUGGACAACAUAUAGAUAUCCAUUGUCUAGGCCUACUACUUAGCCAUUUUUAAAUGACUAAAGAAUAGGUAUCAUCACUGAUGACCAAGCUGAUUGGCUCUAGUGCAAGUGAGAGAUUGUUGGAAAUGUGCCCUAAAACCAAUCAUGUGAUGAUACUUUACGAACAUUUCACAUGUUAAACUAAUCUAGUUUAAUAUCAAGGGCAAAGAUUAUUGUUUUAAGCCGUCUCAUAUAAAUGUUAUAUGCUUAAACGAUAAGUCCAAGGAAUAUGUAAUUAGGAGAAUGUAAUUUAAACAAGUUAGAUUUAUGAGACCAAUCUCUUUCGUAUACAUAUCCUAAACGUUCCUGAUCAUAGGAUUGCCAAUUGGGCAUUGACAGUCCGUUAAGAUCAGUAUGUGCUGUGUCUUCUCUCAUGGAGAGUGACUGGUCUCGAGUCAUUGGUGUGAUUGACACCAAGACAAGCAUGUAGGUGCUCAAUAGCGAAUGAGUCCACUGAACACGAUCAACGAAGAGUUCUCAAACUCAUGUCACAUAAGAACUCAUGGUUGGGAUAAUGCAAAGUAGUCCUUUG